rnacentral:tRNA from 1 species
UCUCUGGUGUCUCAAGAUGGUAAAGAAUCUGCCUGCAAUGCAGGAGACCAGGGUUUGAUCCCUGGUUUGGGAA